UACAGAGGUCCCGAGCGUUGUUCGGAUUCACUGGGCGUAAAGGGUGCGUAGGUGGCGAGGUAAGUCGGAUGUGAAAGCUCGGAGCUCAACUCCGAAAUGGCAUUGGAAACUACCUUGCUCGAGGGUUGGAGGGGGGGACUGGAAUACUUGGUGUAGCAGUGAAAUGCGUAGAUAUCAAGUGGAACACCAGUGGCGAAGGCGAGUCCCUGGACAACUCCUGACACUGAGGCACGAAAGCUAGGGGAGCAAACAGG
rnacentral:rRNA from 1 species